CAAAACAUAGCAUAACAUGCAUUUCACUUACAUUGAAAAGAUAAUGGCACACAUUUGUUUUGA
rnacentral:tRNA from 1 species